rnacentral:rRNA from 1 species
UCGGAUUGUAGUCUGCAACCCGACUACAUGAAGCUGGAAUCGCUAGUAAUCGCGAAUCAGAAUGUCGCGGUGAAUACGUUCCCGGGUCUUGUACACACCGCCCGUCACACCAUGGGAGUCGGAAAUGCCCGAAGUCAGUGACCCAACCGUAAGGAGGGAGCUGCCGAAGGUGGAGCCGGUAACUGGGGUGAAGUCGUAACAAGGUAGC